rnacentral:sRNA from 1 species
CGUAUCAGAACGGACCUACAGAAAGUUUCUGGCCUGUCUGCCCCAUUCUCCCAGAGCGCUGGGGUGGAUCAAAAGGAACUGUCCUUCAGCCCAUCCUUAUUGAAGAUCUUCUGCCAACUAUUCUCCAUUCAUGUAGAUGCUAUAAACAUCAUGGUUCUCAAGGUGGAUACCUCUGAGUCCUUAUGGCAUAUUCAGAUCAGUAGAAGCAGAUUUCUUUUGGAUAGUGAUGGGAAAAGGCUAAUCUGUGAGGUGAGCUUAUGUAAGAUCAACAGCAAAGUUCUAAAGAGUGGUCAGCUGGUAAGUAUGCCAUGAUCAUUCAGAUGCCUCAUUUCCUCCUGGGCAUAAAGUGUGAAGGAGCUUAGGGCUUACAUCCUAGGUUCUGUGGCCUUAGGGGGUUCCCUCAAGUCAGUACCCAGUGUUCCAGAUCACCACAUUUUGACCUAAAACUUCCAAACUUUCUUACAUACACCUUAGAGGCUUAUCAUCCCCACAGGAGGACACUUGCCUAG